rnacentral:rRNA from 1 species
AGUGAACGCUGGCGGUAGGCCUAACACAUGCAAGUCGAACGGCAGCACGGUAAGAGCUUGCUCUUACGGGUGGCGAGUGGCGGACGGGUGAGGAAUACAUCGGAAUCUACUUUUUCGUGGGGGAUAACGUAGGGAAACUUACGCUAAUACCGCAUACGACCUACGGGUGAAAGCAGGGGAUCUUCGGACCUUGCGCGAUUGAAUGAGCCGAUGUCGGAUUAGCUAGUUGGCGGGGUAAAGGCCCACCAAGGCGACGAUCCGUAGCUGGUCUGAGAGGAUGAUCAGCCACACUGGAACUGAGACACGGUCCAGACUCCUACGGGAGGCAGCAGUGGGGAAUAUUGGACAAUGGGCGCAAGCCUGAUCCAGCCAUACCGCGUGGGUGAAGAAGGCCUUCGGGUUGUAAAGCCCUUUUGUUGGGAAAGAAAAGCAGCAGGUUAAUACCCCGCUGUUCCGACGGUACCCAAAGAAUAAGCACCGGCUAACUUCGUG